ACUGAACGCUGGCGGCGUGCCUAAUACAUGCAAGUCGAACGGAGUGGCGCACGGGUGAGUAAUGUAUAGCUAAUCUGCCCUACACUAGAGGACAACAGUUGGAAACGGCUGCUAAUACUCUAUAGUGUAGGAUGAGGCUAUAUUGUAUCAGCUAGUUGGUGAGGUAAUGUCUCACAAAGGCUAUGACGCAUAACUGGUCUGAUAGGAUGAUCAGUAACACUGGAACGGAGACACGGGCAAGACUCCUACGGGAGUCAGCAGUAGGGAGUAUGGCUCAAUGGGGGAGACCCUGAAGCAGCUUCGCCGCGUGGAGGAUGACACUUUGCGGAGCGUAAACUCCUUUUGUUAGGGAAGCGGUACCUAACGAAUAAGCCCCGGCUAACUCCGUGCCAGCAGCCGCGGUAAUUC
rnacentral:rRNA from 1 species